GAGGGACGUCGUGCGUCGGCUCUGCGGGGCCCGGGCGCACGGCGUCAUGGCGCGCCUGCUCCGCGCCCUCCGGGGAUUUCCCCUUGGAGAGGCGCUCCUGCGGGCGGUGCGGAGCCGCGCUGGUGGCGGCGGCUCAGCGGCCGGUCACGGGGACGCAGGGUCUCUCACAAAGCAUGAGCUGCCUCUUACCAAGAGUGAAUGGCAAAAGAAGCUGACUCCAGAGCAAUUCUAUGUUACAAGAGAAAAAGGAACAGAACCACCUUUCAGUGGGGUCUAUCUGAAUAACAAGGAAUCAGGAAUGUAUCACUGUGUGUGCUGUGACAGCCCACUCUUCAGGGCCAUUAAAGGGAGCUCACCUUUCAAAACACUUGAAGAGUGGGUCUGUGUUCCGAGAAAAAGUACUGCUCCGGCACUGGAUGGCCUGCAUUUUCGGAGGCACACGGGACAUCUGGCUCUGAUGAAAGGGACACGGGGAUCCUGAGACGUGUGGACACCUCAUUAGGAUUAACUCGCACCGAGGUUGUCUGCAAGCAGUGUGAAGCCCACCUUGGCCACGUGUUUCCUGAUGGACCUGGGCCUAGUGGUCAGAGGUUUUGCAUUAACAGUGUGGCACUGAAGUUCAAACCAAGGAAACACUGACUAUCUCCAAGGGACCCCUUCCUCUGCCACUGCUCCAUUUAUACCCUCAAUUUUCACAGUUUAUGUUAAUGCCUAACUUUAUUUACUACCAAACCAAGCAAAGUUUGCUUCUGGCAUCAAGCAAGUUCCAACUUCUAUAAUUGAUUUACCUGGAAUCAACCCAACCCUGACUCCAGCUUGGAUGGUGAAAUUUCACAGAAUGUAGGUUUUGCCUGGGAUGGGAAGGCAAGAUUCUUUGAGGACAUUAAGAAACUGAUGGACUACAAUCCAAAAAAUUUCUACAAAAAUACCCUGAACUUUCCACUGCAGGUAAGUCCUUUGUGGACAUAUGUAGGUGAGGGAUCAAGUGAAAAGAGGAAGGAAAUGCAGAUUAAUCAACGAUCCCAGCAUUGAAAGAAGUACCGAGGACGGAGAUUGUGGAAGAACAGUGUUUGGGAGGCACACGUGGUGAUUGAUGGGAUGCAUGAAUCUUUUUCAGAAUUUUAGAAUGUCUUGAACAUUCUGGUUUCAUCCUUUCUACUGGCAAAUAAGUUCCAAUGAGAGUUUGCUAGAUUUCAAUGACAAAAGAAUAAAAAGUGGUUACAAAGUUAAGCUUUAACAUGUUCAAAUAAAAUAUUUACUAAAAUUUUA